UCUUCUAACGGAAAAAUCCUAGCACACACAAAAAUAUUGGAGAUGGGCACUAUGCUAUGUAAUACCAUUUUUUGAAGUUGCUCUUGAAGUACGAACCCAGUUGCUAGUCUGCAACUUCAGGAAAAAUUGUUUUAACUUAUAUUGGCCUGC